rnacentral:misc_RNA from 1 species
UUCAGAAUUAUAGCCUACAUGCGAGAUCUGGACGCUGAAGCAGGGGCACUCAACAACAUGCCUUUUGAUGCCCUUUCUUCCAAAUACCUUGAUGGUUUGAAGAAGUCACCAUAUAAUUGAGACCAUUUCUUCAGACUUGUAUAUAUGUGUUCGGAUCCAACCAUGUCUGCCCAAAAAACAAUGCCACCACGAUAGGCUGGGAAACUCAUUCCCAGAACAGAUGCAAUGUCAAGAUCUGAUGCUCGAACUACCACUCCCUCAUCCAGAACACGACAUGCUUCAUUCACUACUGGAAAGAGUAUCAUAUUCACUAUCUCUUGGUCGGUGACACUUAUAGACUUUCCAUUAGGCAUAAUAUUGGUAAGCCGCCUAGACUCCUCAAUGAUUGGUAUCACUGAAGGAUCAGGUUUUGGCUUGCUUCCCUUUUCAUAAAUGUAGUACCCUUUCCCAUUGUUUUUACCAUUUCGUCCACUUUUAAUUAAAAGUUCAACUAAUGGAGACAAGAAUGUGCGAUCAGGGAAUGCAUUAGCAAACUCUUUUCCCACUGCAACAGCAACUCCAUAUCCAGCUAAAUCCUGAAGC